AAGGCUGUGAUGGGGUGGGAGAUAAGGGGAGGAGACAACGGAGCAACAAGAAGACGGAAUUUGAAAAUAAUGGUAUUGUGGGUGGGGGUUAAGAUGUGAAAUGUGUCUUCUCUCCGAUGGUGAGGUAGAGAACGAAUGAAGCAGGUAGGGUGAGAGCUAGAGGAUAGGAAGCUUCCGAGGGGUUGGGGAGGUUUGUAUGCGAAACGCGCCGCCCUCUCCGUCUUCUUCGUUUCUAUCUUUCGUCUCUUCUCCUCUCCGCGUAUACUGUACCGGUGCGGAGAUUCGCACACGACGCUUGAGAAGGUGGCGAAGACGGAGAGAGGUCAGUACU
ensembl:ncRNA K04H4.13 ncRNA